AGUGAACGCUGGCGGUAGGCCUAACACAUGCAAGUCGAACGGCAGCACAGUAAGAGCUUGCUCUUACGGGUAGCGAGUGGCGGACGGGUGAGGAAUACAUCGGAAUCUACUUUUUCGUGGGGGAUAACGUAGGGAAACUUACGCUAAUACCGCAUACGACCUACGGGUGAAAGCAGGGGAUCUUCGGACCUUGCGCGAUUGAAUGAGCCGAUGUCGGAUUAGCUAGUUGGCGGGGUAAAGGCCCACCAAGGCGACGAUCCGUAGCUGGUCUGAGAGGAUGAUCAGCCACACUGGAACUGAGACACAGUCCAGACUCCUACGGGAGGCAGCAGUGGGGAAUAUUGGACAAUGGGCGCAAGCCUGAUCCAGCCAUACCGCGUGGGUGAAGAAGGCCUUCGGGUUGUAAAGCCCUUUUGUUGGGAAAGAAAAGCAGCAGGUUAAUACCCCGCUGUUCUGACGGUACCCAAAGAAUAAGCACCGGCUAACUUCGUG
rnacentral:rRNA from 1 species